UACGGGGGGGGCAAGCGUUGUUCGGAAUUACUGGGCGUAAAGGGCUCGUAGGCGGCCAACUAAGUCGGACGUGAAAUCCCUCGGCUUAACCGGGGAACUGCGUCCGAUACUGGAUGGCUUGAGUUUGGGAGAGGGAUGCGGAAUUCCAGGUGUAGUGGUGAAAUGCGUAGAUAUCUGGAGGAACACCGGUGGCGAAGGCGGCAUCCUGGACCAAUACUGACGCUAAGGAGCGAAAGCUAGGGGAGCAAACGGG
rnacentral:rRNA from 1 species